rnacentral:rRNA from 1 species
CACGUAGGGUGCGAGCGUUGUCCGGAAUUAUUGGGCGUAAAGAGCUCGUAGGCGGUGUGUCGCGUCGGCCGUGAAAACCUGCAGCUUAACUGUGGCUUGCGGUCGAUACGGGCAUCACUGGAGUUCGGCAGGGGAGACUGGAAUUCCUGGUGUAGCGGUGAAAUGCGCAGAUAUCAGGAGGAACACCGGUGGCGAAGGCGGGUCUCUGGGCCGAUACUGACGCUGAGGAGCGAAAGCGUCGGGGAGCGAACAGG